ACAUGCAAGUCGAGCGAUCUCUGAUUAAUGAAGGGGCUUGCAUCUUGAUUUUAUUUUGAACGAGUGGCGGACGGGUGAGUCACACGUGGGUAACCUGCCCUUAAGUGGGGGAUAACAUUUGGAAACAGAUGCUAAUACCGCAUAAAUCCAAGAACCGCAUGGUUCUUGGCUGAAAGAUGGCGUAAGCUAUCGCUUUUGGAUGGACCCGCGGCGUAUUAGCUAGUUGGUGAGGUAACGGCUCACCAAGGCAAUGAUACGUAGCCGAACUGAGAGGUUGAUCGGCCACAUUGGGACUGAGACACGGCCCAAACUCCUACGGGAGGCAGCAGUAGGGAAUCUUCCACAAUGGACGCAAGUCUGAUGGAGCAACGCCGCGUGAGUGAAGAAGGCUUUCGGGUCGUAAAACUCUGUUGUUGGAGAAGAAUGGUCGGCAGAGUAACUGUUGUCGGCGUGACGGUAUCCAACCAGAAAGCCACGGCUAACUACGUGCCAGCAGCCGCGGUAAUACGUAGGUGGCAAGCGUUAUCCGGAUUUAUUGGGCGUAAAGCGAGCGCAGGCGGUUUUUUAAGUCAUUGAUGUAA
rnacentral:rRNA from 2 species